CGUGAACGCUGGCGGCAGGCCUAACACAUGCAAGUCGAGCGGCAGCGCGGGGGCAACCCUGGCGGCGAGCGGCGGACGGGUGAGGAAUUCGUCGGAAUCUGCCUUUUUGUGGGGGAUAACGUAGGGAAACUUACGCUAAUACCGCAUACGUCCUACGGGAGAAAGUGGGGGACCGCAAGGCCUCACGCAGAAAGAUGAGCCGACGACCGAUUAGCUAGUUGGUGGGGUAAAGGCCCACCAAGGCGACGAUCGGUAGCUGGUCUGAGAGGAUGAUCAGCCACACUGGGACUGAGACACGGCCCAGACACCUACGGGAGGCAGCAGUGGGGAAUAUUGGACAAUGGGCGCAAGCCUGAUCCAGCCAUGCCGCGUGUGUGAAGAAGGCCUUCGGGUUGUAAAGCACUUUUGUCCGGAAAGAAAUCCCUGGAGCUAAUACCUUCGGGGGAUGACGGUACCGGAAGAAUAAGCACCGGCUAACUUCGUG
rnacentral:rRNA from 1 species